UACGUAGGGUCCGAGCGUUGUCCGGAUUUAUUGGGCGUACAGAGCUCGUAGGCGGUUCCGUAAGUCAGAUGUGAAAACUCAGGGCUCAACCCGGAGACGCCAUCUGAUACUGCGGUGACUGGAGUCUGGUAGGGGAACACGGAAUUCCUGGUGUAGCGGUGAAAUGCGCAGAUAUCAGGAGGAACACCGAUGGCGAAGGCAGUGUUCUGGGCCAGUACUGACGCUGAGGAGCGAAAGCGUGGGUAGCAAACAGG
rnacentral:rRNA from 1 species